CGGAAUUAUUGGGCGUAAAGAGCACGUAGGCGGCCUUGCAAGUCAGUUGUGAAAGCCUUCCGCUUAACGGAAGAACGGCAUCUGAUACUACAGGGCUUGAGUACGGGGGGGGAGAGUGGAACUUCUGGUGGAGCGGUGAAAUGCGUAGAUAUCAGAAGGAACGCCGGCGGCGAAAGCGACUCUCUGGUCCGAAACUGACGCUGAGUGUGCGAAAGCUAGGGGAGCAAACGGGAUUAGAUACCCCGGUAGUCCUAGCCGUAAACGAUGGGCACUAAGUAGAGGGGUUUUGAUUAUUUCUCUGCCGGAGCUAACGCAUUAAGUGCCCCGCCUGGGGAGUACGGCCGCAAGGCUAAAACUCAAAAGAAUUGACGGGGGCUCGCACAAGCGGUGGAGCAUGUGGCUUAAUUCGAUGCAACGCGAAGAACCUUACCGGGGCUUGACAUGGUAGAAGUAGAAUCCUGAAAGGGUGACGAUCGGUAUCCAGUCCGAAGCUAUCACAGGUGUUGCAUGGCUGUCGUCAGCUCGUGUCGUGAGACGUUGGGUUAAGUCCCCUAACGAGCGAAACCCUUGUCUUUAGUUGCUAACGGGUAAUGCUGAGCACUUUAGAGAGACUGCCGUCGUUAAGACGGAGGAAGGUGGGGACGACGUCAAGUCAUCAUGGCCCUUAUGUCCCGGGCUGCACACGUGCUACAAUGGUCGGUACAAAGGGAUGCUAAGUCGCGAGAUGGUGCGAAACCUAUAAAGCCGAUCUCAGUUCAGAUUGGAGGCUGAAACUCGCCUCCAUGAAGUUGGAAUCGCUAGUAAUCGCGGAUCAGCUACGCCGCCGUGAUUAUGUUCCCGAGCCUUGUACACACCGCCCGUCAGCCACCCAGCAGAUGCACCCA
rnacentral:rRNA from 1 species